AUGUUGGGUGAUAUAGUGAUGUGGUGGUUGAUGGUAAGUUGGGUCGGUUGGGUCAUAUUCUUAGGAAAAUCUCAGAUCAGGGCUAAGGUUAGAUGCUUAGGGGCCCACAUUGGGAUAUGGAUAAGACUGGAAUUGUGUGUGUGUGGGACAUGUGGGUGUAUUGAUAUUGGGAUUGAGAUUUUGGUUGGGUGUGAGGCAUAUGGGGGUAUUGGUAUUGAGGUGGUGAUUGUGGUUGGGUGUGUGGCAUAUGGGUGUAUUCGUAUUGUGGUGGUGAUUGUGGUUGGGUUGUUGUAUAUCUGUAUCGUCAGGGUGGUUGCUAGGAGGUUGAUGUGUGUUAGGUUUGUUGUUAGGGAAAUGAGGGUUUUGCCUAUUGUGUUCGUGGGUAAACCAAAUACCUUGGAUGAGA